rnacentral:rRNA from 1 species
GACGAACGCUGGCGGCGUGCUUAACACAUGCAAGUCGAACGGAAAGGCCCUGCUUUUGUGGGGUGCUCGAGUGGCGAACGGGUGAGUAACACGUGAGUAACCUGCCCUUGACUUUGGGAUAACUUCAGGAAACUGGGGCUAAUACCGGCUAGGAGCUCCUGCUGCAUGGUGGGGGUUGGAAAGUUUCGGCGGUUGGGGAUGGACUCGCGGCUUAUCAGCUUGUUGGUGGGGGAGUGGCUUACCAAGGCUUUGACGGGUAGCCGGCCUGAGAGGGUGACCGGGCACAUUGGGACUGCGAUACGGACCAGACUCCUACGGGAGGCAGCAGUGGGGAAUAUUGCACAAUGGGCGGAAGCCUGAUGCAGCAACGCCGCGUGCGGGAUGACGGCCUUCGGGUUGUAAACCGCUUUCGCCUGUGACGAAGCGUGAGUGACGGUAAUGGGUAAAGAAGCACCGGCUAACUACGUG